rnacentral:rRNA from 1 species
UACGUAGGGUCCGAGCGUUGUCCGGAAUUACUGGGCGUAAAGAGCUCGUAGGUGGUUUGUCGCGUUGUUCGUGAAACUCACAGCUCAACUGUGGGCGUGCGGGCGAUACGGGCAGACUAGAGUACUGCAGGGGAGACUGGAAUCCUGGUGUAGCGGUGGAAUGCGCAGAUAUCAGGAGGAACACCGGUGGCGAAGGCGGGUCUCUGGGCCGAUACUGACGUGGAGGAGCGAAAGCGUGGGGAGCGAACAGG